UACGAACGCUGGCGGCGUGCCUAAUACAUGCAAGUAGAACGCUGAAGAGAGGAGCUUGCUCUUCUUGGAUGAGUUGCGAACGGGUGAGUAACGCGUAGGUAACCUGCCUUGUAGCGGGGGAUAACUAUUGGAAACGAUAGCUAAUACCGCAUAACAAUGGAUGACACAUGUCAUUUAUUUGAAAGGGGCAAUUGCUCCACUACAAGAUGGACCUGCGUUGAAUUAGCUAGUAGGUGAGGUAACGGCUCACCUAGGCGACGAUACAUAGCCGACCUGAGAGGGUGAUCGGCCACACUGGGACUGAGACACGGCCCACACUCCUACGGGAGGCAGCAGUAGGGAAUCUUCGGCAAUGGGGGCAACCCUGACCGAGCAACGCCGCGUGAGUGAAGAAGGUUUUCGGAUCGUAAAGCUCUGUUGUAAGUCAAGAACGAGUGUGAGAGUGGAAAGUUCACACUGUGACGGUAGCUUACCAGAAAGGGACGGCUAACUACGUGCCAGCAGCCGCGGUAAUACGUAGGUCCCGAGCGUUGUCCGGAUUUAUUGGGCGUAAAGCGAGCGCAGGCGGUUUGAUAAGUCUGAAGUUAAAGGCUGUGGCUCAACCAUAGUUCGCUUUGGAAACUGUCGAACUUGAGUGCAGAAGGGGAGAGUGGAAUUCCAUGUGUAGCGGUGAAAUGGGUAGAUAUAUGGAGGAACACCGGUGGCGAAAGCGGCUCUCUGGUCUGUAACUGACGCUGAGGCUCGAAAGCGUGGGGAGCGAACAGGAUUAGAUACCCUGGUAGUCCACGCCGUAAACGAUGAGUGCUAGGUGUUGGAUCCUUUCCGGGAUUCAGUGCCGCAGCUAACGCAUUAAGCACUCCGCCUGGGGAGUACGACCGCAAGGUUGAAACUCAAAGGAAUUGACGGGGGCCCGCACAAGCGGUGGAGCAUGUGGUUUAAUUCGAAGCAACGCGAAGAACCUUACCAGGUCUUGACAUCCCGAUGCUAUUUCUAGAGAUAGAAAGUUACUUCGGUACAUCGGUGACAGGUGGUGCAUGGUUGUCGUCAGCUCGUGUCGUGAGAUGUUGGGUUAAGUCCCGCAACGAGCGCAACCCCUAUUGUUAGUUGCCAUCAUUCAGUUGGGCACUCUAGCGAGACUGCCGGUAAUAAACCGGAGGAAGGUGGGGAUGACGUCAAAUCAUCAUGCCCCUUAUGACCUGGGCUACACACGUGCUACAAUGGUUGGUACAACGAGUUGCGAGUCGGUGACGGCAAGCUAAUCUCUUAAAGCCAAUCUCAGUUCGGAUUGUAGGCUGCAACUCGCCUACAUGAAGUCGGAAUCGCUAGUAAUCGCGGAUCAGCACGCCGCGGUGAAUACGUUCCCGGGCCUUGUACACACCGCCCGUCACACCACGAGAGUUUGUAACACCCGAAGUCGGUGAGGUAACCUUUUGGAGCCAGCCGCCUAAGGUGGGAU
rnacentral:rRNA from 1 species